AUUCUAGAGCUAAUACAUGCUGUUUAGCCUGACUUCUUGAAGGGCUGUAUUUAUUAGAUAACAGACCAAUAUUCCUCGUGUCUAUUGUGGUGACUCAUAGUAACUGAUCGGAUCGCACGGGCGUGCCCGCGACAAACCAUUCAAGUUUCUGCCCCAUCAGCUUUCGAUGGUAGUGUAUUGGACUACCAUGGCUUUUACGGGUAACGGAGGAUUAGGGUUCGAUUCCGGAGAGGGAGCCUGAGAAACGGCUACCACAUCUAAGGAAGGCAGCAGGCGCGUAAAUUACCCAAUCCUGACUCAGGGAGGUAGUG
rnacentral:rRNA from 1 species